AAAUUCCGUAAGUACCUUACCGUUUUCUAACAUGUUGGACACCAGAUGGCAUGACACGUCAUUUAAAAUGAUACCACAUAAUCUUAUUAAAUAGACACAUCAAUUAAAUAAAAAAAAUAUUAAUACAAUUAAAAAAGCUAGCAAAUGAAAAGAAUAAUAUUAUUGAUACAACUAAUUUAAAUUUAUUUAAAUCAAACUAAUAACUAAAUUUAUUACAAAAAUAAUAACUAAAUAAUAUAUAAAAUACAUCAAACUAUCUUUUUUAUUUUAUAUAUUAUUUAAAAUAAAAUUCAAACCCUAAAUCUAUAACAGUAUGAACUGCAGCAUAGAGACGGAGAAGGGGAAUGUAACGGACCUUCUUCUCCGACCACGGGAACCCAUCGGUCGAGGCAGCGUGGAGCUUCUGGACGGACGAGGAGCACACCGCCAGGAUCGCGAGCUUGUGAGAACCCCAAUGUUGGUUCUCCCUCGACUUCUUUACUCUCUUUCUUUCUCGAUUUCUCUUUACUCAGAGCCGAAUGGAGAAACUCCGGUCGCCUGUGGUGAAAACGGCCUUCACCACGAUGCUCCAUACUCUUAAAGAUCCCUAGAUCUGAAUCUCCCUCGCUCUUUCUCUCUCCCCACGGCGUCCCUCUCUCUGUUUCUCUCUACUUAAAGUCGGACAGAGCACCUCCGUCUUGGCGGAGAUCUGAGCAACAUCGUCAUUCGGCGGAUAAGACUAAUGAUUGAUGAUGAUGUUAACAGAUUGGCAUGGGGGAAGAGAGUGGAGAAAAUUUUUGGGGGUAGAUGAUUAAUGAUGAUGUUAACAGAUUGGCAUGGGUACGACAUUUUCUGGGUUUAGGCAAUAGUUUAUGAAGUUCAAUGAAUAUUAGUAUGUUUAUUAAAUUAGGUUUAAUUUUAUUUUAUUAUGCUUAAUUUUAUUUUACUAUGUUGCUUAAAUGACAUGGGCCAUCUGUUUCAAAAAAAAAAAAAAAUAUAUGGGCCAAUUAAAUAUUGCCAUAUGUAUAUCUAUUUGAUAUAUAUAGUGAGUUAUUAAUAA